AGCGAACGCUGGCGGCAGGCUUAACACAUGCAAGUCGAGCGGGCCCUUCGGGGUCAGCGGCAGACGGGUGAGUAACACGUGGGAACGUACCCUUUGGUUCGGAAUAACGCUGGGAAACUAGCGCUAAUACCGGAUACGCCCCUUUGGGGAAAGGCUUGCUGCCGAAGGAUCGGCCCGCGUCUGAUUAGCUAGUUGGUGGGGUAAUGGCCUACCAAGGCGACGAUCAGUAGCUGGUCUGAGAGGAUGAUCAGCCACACUGGGACUGAGACACGGCCCAGACUCCUACGGGAGGCAGCAGUGGGGAAUAUUGGACAAUGGGCGCAAGCCUGAUCCAGCCAUGCCGCGUGAGUGAUGAAGGCCUUAGGGUUGUAAAGCUCUUUUGUCCGGGACGAUAAUGACGGUACCGGAAGAAUAAGCCCCGGCUAACUUCGUG
rnacentral:rRNA from 1 species